rnacentral:rRNA from 1 species
GCGCACGGGUGAGUAACACGUGGGACCUACCUUGAAGUACGGAAUAACUGUAGGGUAACUUCAGCUAAUACCGUAUACGCCCUACGGGGGAAAGAUUUAUCGCUACAAGACGGGCCCGCGUUGGAUUAGCAAGUUGGUGAGGUAACGGCACCAAGCCGACGAUCUAUAGCUGGUUUGAGAGAACGAUCAGCCACACUGGAACUGAGACACGGUCCAGACUCCUACGGGAGGCAGCAGUGGGGAAUCUUGCACAAUGGGCGAAAGCCUGAUGCAGCCAUGCCGCGUGAGUGAGAAGGCCUUCGGGUUGUAAAACUCUUUUAGAUGUGAAGAUGAUGACGGUAACAUCAGAAAAAGCCCCGGCUAACUUCGUGCCAGCAGCCGCGGUAAUACGAAGGGGGCUAGCGUUGUUCGGAAUUACUGGGCGUAAAGAGCGUGUAGGCGGCUUUGUCAGUCAGGGGUGAAUUCCCGGGGCUUAACCUCGGAACUGCCCUUGAUACUGCAAGGCUUGAGUCUGUGAGAGGAUGGAGGAAUACCCAGUGUAGAGGUGAAAUUCGUAGAUAAUGGGUGGAACACCAGUGGCGAAGGCCGCCAUCUGGCACAGUACUGACGCUGAGUGCCAAAGCGUGGGGAGCAAACAGGUUUAGAUACCCUGGUAGACCACGCCGUAAACGAUGAGUGCUAGCUGUCGGGUUGCAUGCCACUCGGUGGCGCAGCUAACGCCAUUAAGCACUCCGCCUAGGGUAGACGGUUCGCAAGAUUCAAACUUCAAAGGAAUUGACGGGGGCCCGCACAAGCGGUGGAGCAAGUGGUUUAAUUCGAAGCAACGCGCAGAACCUUACCAGCCUUGACAUGGGGAUCACCGCUGCCAGAGAUGGCAGCUUCAGUUCGAC